rnacentral:sRNA from 1 species
UUUUAGCCCAGAUGGUAACGGCAUCCUCUGGUGGCGGGGUUCGCCACCAGAGAUAUAGUGGACAGCUGGAAAUGGC